rnacentral:rRNA from 1 species
UAAUACAUGCAAGUCGAACGCAUUGUGGUUGAAAUGAUAUGAAGUAACUUGUUCAGAUUUGAUUUUCAACAUUGCAAUGAGUGGCGAACGGGUGAGUAACACGUAGGGAAACCUACCUCUUAGCAGGGGAUAACAUUUGGAAACAAAUGCUAAUACCGUAUAAUAAUUAAAACCGCAUGGUUUUAGUUUAAAAGAUGGUCUUGCUAUCACUAAGAGAUGGUCCCGCGGUGUAUUAGUUAGUUGGUGAGGUAAUGGCUCACCAAGACAAUGAUACAUAGCCGAGUUGAGAGACUGACCGGCCACAAUGGGACUGAGACACGGCCCAUACUCCUACGGGAGGCAGCAGUAGGGAAUCUUCCACAAUGGACGAAAGUCUGAUGGAGCAACGCCGCGUGUGUGAUGAAGGGUUUCGGCUCGUAAAACACUGUUGUAAGAGAAGAAUGACAUUGAGAGUAACUGUUCAAUGUGUGACGGUAUCUUACCAGAAAGGAACGGCUAAAUACGUG